rnacentral:rRNA from 1 species
UGGGGAAUAUUGCACAAUGGGCGCAAGCCUGAUGCAGCCAUGCCGCGUGUGUGAAGAAGGCCUUCGGGUUGUAAAGCACUUUCAGCGGGGAGGAAGGCGAUAAGGUUAAUAACCUCAUCGAUUGACGUUACCCGCAGAAGAAGCACCGGCUAACUCCGUGCCAGCAGCCGCGGUAAUACGGAGGGUGCAAGCGUUAAUCGGAAUUACUGGGCGUAAAGCGCACGCAGGCGGUCUUUCAAGUCGGAUGUGAAAUCCCCGGGCUCCACCUGGGAACUGCAUUCGAAACUGGCAGGCUAGAGUCUUGUAGAGGGGGGUAGAAUUCCAGGUGUAGCGGUGAAAUGCGUAGAGAUCUGGAGGAAGACCGGUGGCGAAGGCGGCCCCCUGGACAAAGACUGACGCUCAGGUGCGAAAGCGUGGGGAGCAAACAGG